CCUACGGGAGGCAGCAGUGAGGAAUAUUGGUCAAUGGACGAGAGUCUGAACCAGCCAAGUAGCGUGAAGGAUGACUGCCCUAUGGGUUGUAAACUUCUUUUAUAUGGGAAUAAAAUGUUCCACGUGUGGGAUUUUGUAUGUACCAUAUGAAUAAGGAUCGGCUAACUCCGUGCCAGCAGCCGCGGUAAUACGGAGGAUCCGAGCGUUAUCCGGAUUUAUUGGGUUUAAAGGGAGCGUAGGUGGAUUGUUAAGUCAGUUGUGAAAGUUUGCGGCUCAACCGUAAAAUUGCAGUUGAAACUGGCAGGCUAGAGAGCAGUAGAGGUAGGCGGAAUGCGUGGUGUAGCGGUGAAAUGCUUAGAUAUCACGAAGAACUCCGAUUGCGAAGGCAGCUCACUGGACUGCAACUGACACUGAGGCUCGAAAGUGUGGGGAUCAAACAGGAUUAGAUACCCUUGUAGUC
rnacentral:rRNA from 1 species